GAAGGAUCUCUUCGGAGAGACGGAAUUUUAGUUUAGUGGCGGACGGGUGAGUAACGCGUGAGUAACCUGCCUUUGAGAGGGGAAUAACGUUCUGAAAAGAACGCUAAUACCGCAUAACAUAUAUUGAUCGCAUGGUCGGUAUAUCAAAGAUUUUAUCGCUCAAAGAUGGACUCGCGUCCGAUUAGCUUGUUGGCGGGGUAACGGCCCACCAAGGCGACGAUCGGUAGCCGGACUGAGAGGUUGAACGGCCACAUUGGGACUGAGACACGGCCCAGACUCCUACGGGAGGCAGCAGUGGGGGAUAUUGCGCAAUGGGGGCAACCCUGACGCAGCAACGCCGCGUGAAGGAUGAAGAUUUUCGGAUUGUAAACUUCUUUUGUCAGGGACGAAAUCUGACGGUACCUGACGAAUAAGCUCCGGCUAACUACGUGCCAGCAGCCGCGGUAAUACGUAGGGAGCAAGCGUUGUCCGGAUUUACUGGGUGUAAAGGGUGCGUAGGCGGCUAAGCAAGUCAGAUGUGAAAUCUAUGGGCUCAACCCAUAAACUGCAUUUGAAACUGCAUAGCUUGAGUGAAGUAGAGGCAGGCGGAAUUCCCCGUGUAGCGGUGAAAUGCGUAGAGAUGGGGAGGAACACCAGUGGCGAAGGCGGCCUGCUGGGCUUUAACUGACGCUGAGGCACGAAAGCGUGGGUAGCAAAC
rnacentral:rRNA from 1 species